rnacentral:rRNA from 1 species
AUGAAUUGCCUAGUGUGGAACUGUCGGGGCGCGGGGAACCCUCGUAUACUUCACGAUCUAAAGGCUAUAUGUAGGGCCAAUUCCCCGAGGAUGGUGUUUUUGUGUGAGACUAGAAAUCAGGUGCAAAAGAUGAAAAGGUUGCGUAACAGGCUCGGGCUGCGCGGUUUUGAGGGCAUAAGCAGUCAAGGAAAGAGUGGUGGCCUAGCUUUGCUUUGGGAUGAA